rnacentral:rRNA from 1 species
UACAGAGGGUGCGAGCGUUAAUCGGAAUUACUGGGCGUAAAGCGUGCGUAGACGGCUAUCUAAGUCGGGUGUGAAAGCCCCGGGCUCAACCUGGGAAUUGCAUUCGAGACUGAAUAGCUAGGGUACGGUAGAGGGAAGUGGAAUUUCCGGUGUAGCGGUGAAAUGCGUAGAUAUCGGAAGGAACAUCAGUGGCGAAAGCGACUCCUGGACCAGUACCGACGUCAGGCACGAAAGCGUGGGGAGCAAACAGGA